rnacentral:rRNA from 1 species
UACGUAGGGUGCGAGCGUUGUCCGGAAUUAUUGGGCGUAAAGAGCUUGUAGGCGGUUUGUCGCGUCUGCUGUGAAAAUCCGGGGCUCAACCCCGGACUUGCAGUGGGUACGGGCAGACUAGAGUGUGGUAGGGGAGACUGGAAUUCCUGGUGUAGCGGUGAAAUGCGCAGAUAUCAGGAGGAACACCGGUGGCGAAGGCGGGUCUCUGGGCCGAUACUGACGCUGAGGAGCGAAAGCGUGGGGAGCGGACAGG